CACACGUGUCAUGAAGAUAUUCAAGUCCGUGGAGGUUUUUUUUUCCCAAAGGACAAAGAGGAGCCGCAGCCAGGAACAGCGCUCGCACGCGCUUGAGAGACGAGGCUGGCCGGCCCAGAGGGCUGCUUAGGGAGAGGGGGCCUGUUCCAUCACCCCCUUUUCCCCAGUGCCCCACGUGGCUGGGGUAACCCAGGAAUAAGCACGGGAGUAGAGGAACAUCUGGUCUGUGAACCUGUAACCCGGAGAGCAGCCUGGAACAGCCAGGCGAGCGACACCAUGGCCUGCUUGUCACCAGAGUUGCCCGCCUUCCCGUGAGUUAGGAAGUACAUGCUGUUCGGUAUUUUAGAGGGAGCCAAGGAGAGAAAAGAAGACAGGCCCGGAGACUCUGAUGGAACAGGCCCCCUGUGCCUCUACAGGUCGCGUCUCGCCUCACAGGCCUCAGCCCUGGGAGCUUAUGUCCCCGCGGUGUCGGCUCGGCUCUGACUUAACCCACUGAGAAUGAAACCACAUUGCUGGAUGUUGGCAGACCAACAGGGUACUUUCAAAGAAAAUGACCACCUGGAGUUUAUGGGAAAUCACCUCUGGCUUACAAAUGCAAAUUCUUAAGUGACAGGUCACAUGUACCCUCCCAGAACAAGGGCUCCUGGCGCAGGGAUUCUCUGCUGAGGGGGAGAGGAGUCAUCCUUCUGGGAGCCGCACCUCCUGAAGCUGCCAUCACAUGGCUUAGUGUCCCGUGCCCUCAUCUCGCCCAGCUUAUCGCAGAUGCAGGAACUGAGGCCCUGGGAAAGUCAGGAGUUUGCUCAGGUUCCAAGAGCCAAACUACUGAAAAGAAAGACUGGGGCGAUGUGCUCUGGCCCCCAGGCCUGUGGCUUUGUGGGGUCGUUUUGCUCUCCGUGUUAGAUCUCACCCCAGGAGAUUCACAGGGAGGGCCAGAGAGAUGCCGCCUCUUAAGUCAUUAGGGUGCCAGACCACGAAGUGGAUGUCCCCUCAAAA